rnacentral:rRNA from 1 species
AUGUGUGCCCCUAAAAAAUAAGGAGGUAUGGGGUUUAAAGAUUUGGAAAGUUUUAAUUUGGCCAUGUUAUCUAAACAAUGUUGGAGACUGUUGAGCGAGCCAAAUUCUUUGUGUGCCUAAGUGCUUCGUGCAAAGUAUUACCCUUAAGGUGAUCUUCUGAAUUGUGAAUUGAAGAAGGGGAGCUCUUACACGUGGCAAAGUUUAUGGGCAAGUAUACAGACGUUUAAAAUAGGACACAUCUGGUGUGCAGGAGAUGGGAACAAUAUCGAUACCUGGGAGGAUUGUUGGAUUCCAAGCAGUCCGAAUAGAAGGAUUAUGACUAGGACAGGCAACAUACUGCUUAUUAAAGUUGCAGAACGUGUUGACCAUGAAGCUCGUGUGUGGGAUGAAGUGUUAAUUGAAGGAAAUAUGCCCUAG